UGUUGUGUAAGAGUUGUGUUUUCCACUGUAGGAACUGGUGAGUAGCCAUGGUAACAGUCCUCAGCCAAUCGGCACAAUUUAGCCCUGCCUCCACCCUAGUCCCCUGGGACAGGGAGGGGUCCAGCUAUUUUAGAUAUGUCUGCUUUUUACCAGAAGUGAGAAAACAUCUCCCACAGCGUCGUCCUGCUCUCAUACCUUAAUUAGAGUAGGCCUCAAGUGUUGUCAACCUGUUGACUGUUCCAGAGUAGCUGAACUUUGUGAACACGGAUACCACUGCCAAGGUUAUGUCAAGUCAUUGGGCCCAUUAGCAAGUUGGAUCUGGGUGGGGGAAUCCUCAGGGCCACGUCCAUCACCAUGACUGGCUUGAGUCCAGAGCCACUCUGCCUGAUGCUUUCAACAAUAGAAAGAUAAGUCAGCUCAGCCAGAAAGCCUCACCGCAGCACGGACUGGUGUAGGAAUUCAUCCAGUUAACUUUAACAUAGAAGAAUAUUACUAUAUAAGAAGAUUUCUCAUCCUUAUGAUCAGGUACGCUUUAAGGAAUUUGGCCUGAUGUCCACUUGUGCCAGUCACUCUGCGAUAGCGAGAACUAAAGUGGGAAACUAGAAGAAUAUGCUGUGUGUUCUAGCAUAGCAACAGAAUGAG